rnacentral:rRNA from 1 species
UCGGGAAUUUUGGGCAAUGGGCGAAAGCCUGACCCAGCAACGCCGCGUGAAGGAUGAAGUAUUUCGGUAUGUAAACUUCGAAAGAAUAGGAAGAAUAAAUGACGGUACUAUUUAUAAGGUCCGGCUAACUACGUGCCAGCAGCCGCGGUAAUACGUAGGGACCAAGCGUUGUUCGGAUUUACUGGGCGUAAAGGGCGCGUAGGCGGUGCGGUAAGUCACUUGUGAAAUCUCCGAGCUUAACUCGGAACGGCCAAGUGAUACUGCAGUACUAGAGUGCGGAAGGGGCAAUCGGAAUUCUUGGUGUAGCGGUGAAAUGCGUAGAUAUCAAGAGGAACACCUGAGGUGAAGACGGGUUGCUGGGCCGACACUGACGCUGAUGCGCGAAAGCCAGGGGAGCAAACGGGAUUAGAUACCCAGGUAGUCCCUGAGCGGGCUGGCAAGGCGCAU